ACAUUUUCUUUUCCUUCUUGGAUUUCUCUCUCCACUGGUGGCACCUCUUCAUUUUAGUCACCUUGCGCCGGAAAAGACAACAGCUUGCUAACCUCGCUUGUCGUAGCCGCUUUUCACUAAUCGCACGCUGUCGAGAAGGAUAGCCAUCACACCAUUACUGCUCAUAUGCUGCUGCCUUUUCUCCGUUCAAUGAUGUUGGCGCUGCAUCAACGGUCUUUCUUUCACCAGUUGAUCAACCAUCACCGCCUACUGCUUCAACCGAGAGCCGAUUGGUUUGGUUCAAACUGAAACCAUCUCCUCUGUACAUGACUCUUUGAGUUAAUUGGCCAAUUUUGCUUGAAUCCUGAAAUUAUCAGCCAAAGAAGGAAUAUUAGUAUCAUAAAUAUUCAUUGAAGAUGAAAAUUCAUCCUGCCCUUCCACAACAGGUCCUGUUAGGAUAUAGAGGGCCUUAUGAUAACGAUUCUCUUCAUGAGAAACAAUAUUUCAUUCUUCAUAUGUAUCAUAAUAUGAAUCGUAGUAUAAAGUAAAACCCCAUUCAUAAGAAAUAUUCAAAUUAUGUCCUGUUGUUAUAGGCGCAAAUUCGAAGUCUUGUGACCUGGCAAUAUAAUUUUCCUUAAAAAAUAUUUUUAGA